rnacentral:rRNA from 1 species
AUACGGAGGAUCCAAGCGUUAUCCGGAAUCAUUGGGUUUAAAGGGUCCGUAGGUGGAUAAUUAAGUCAGAGGUGAAAUCCUGCAGCUCAACUGUAGAAUUGCCUUUGAUACUGGUUAUCUUGAGUUAUUAUGAAGUAGUUAGAAUAUGUAGUGUAGCGGUGAAAUGCAUAGAUAUUACAUAGAAUACCGAUUGCGAAGGCAGAUUACUAAUAAUAUACUGACACUGAGGGACGAAAGCGUGGGGAGCGAACAGGAUUAGAUACCCCAGUAGUCC